CCGCCCGCCCGUCGGCUCCGCGGUGCCAGCCCCGCUGUGACGCAGGCCGCCGGGCCCGGGAACUUCCUCCCCGCGGAGACCACCCCGCGCCCGGGCCGCCCGCCGGGGACAGCCGCCGGCCGCCGAGGACUUCCUUCAGGGCGCCCAGGAAGAUCUCCCGCCGCUUGCCGGUGGAGCCGCUCCGGCCUCUGGAACGCCCACCUGGCGGCCAGUGCCUGAGGAAUGGACCGGGGCCGCUACCUUCCCCAUCCCUAACCCGAGGCUGCCCUGCGCCGGGCGGCCGCGCCACAGUCGCGGCUCCACCCCGGGGUUCCAGUGGACAUCAGUUUGAGUGAACUCCGGGAGUUGGUGAUGGACAGGGAGGCCUGGCGUGCUGCAAUUCAUGGGAUCGCAAAGAGUCGGACACGACUGAGCGACUGAACUGAACUGAACUGAACUGAGCCUUAGAAAGAAAAUAUGCAAUUGCCAUGGUAGAUUGUAUGGAAAUGGCAUGAAUAUCCAUGGCUCAAGACACCUUAUCUGGGUAGUGAAAUUGCAGAUGCUCUUGUUACAUAAACAUGACUCUGUCUUUGGAAAAGUAUCAUGGACGGUGCUUUGUUCACUCAGAAAAUGCUACAGCCAUGCCUGGAUGCUGUCUUCUUAAAGCUGCCACCUCUACUGACACAAGAUACUGAAACCCCUCCAGGUGGACGAAGUUACAAUUAACCUUGGUAUGCUGCCCACAAGCAUGUAGACCCCAGAGCGAUUGAAACCUGAAGGCUGAUGAUGCAGACUCCUCCUUACCUCACCACCAACACAUCAGAAGAGUGUCCAUGAGCUGAUCACAAGCCCUCUUUGAAGCAUUACUAUAAAACUUCUCACUGUCCUUUCCAUGUGGGGGACACAUAGUUUUCUGAGGCAGGCAUCUGCUGUAUUCCCCUUUGCCUGGCAAAGUAAUAAAACUAUCUUUCUCUACUUCA